rnacentral:rRNA from 1 species
CCUAAAAGCUUUAUCAGGUGUGAUUGUUUAGAUUUUAUUUGUUAGAUUUAGCUGGGGUAGUUGUUUUAUAUAAACUAAGAUUGCAUAAAACUUAAGGUUUGAGGUCCUUAAUAUUAAGAUAGUUAGAGAGAGUUACUUUAGGGUUAACAGCGUAAUAGUUUUGGAAAGAUCCUAUUUAUAAGAUUGAUUGCGACCUCGAUGUUGAAUUAAAAUAAACUAUUGGGCAGAAUAAAUAGGAAUAGGUUUGUUCAGCCUUUAUAUAUUUACAUGAUCUG